UACGGAGGGUGCAAGCGUUACUCGGAAUCACUGGGCGUAAAGCGCGCGCAGGCGGUCUUUUAAGUUGGAUGUGAAAGCCUACGGCUCAACCGUAGAACUGCAUCCAAAACUAUUAGACUAGAGUGUGGGAGAGGAAGAUGGGAUUAGUUGUGUAGGGGUAAAAUCCGUAGAGAUAACUAGGAAUACCAAAAGCGAAGGCAAUCUUCUGGAACACUACUGACGCUGAGGCGCGAAAGCGUGGGGAGCAAACGGGAUUAGAUACCCCGGUAGUCCACGCAGUAAACGAUGAAUGUUAGUCGUCGGGGGCCUAGUGUCUUCGGUGAUGCAGCUAACGCAUUAAACAUUCCGCCUGGGGAGUACGGUCGCAAGAUUAAAACUCAAAGGAAUAGACGGGGACCCGCACAAGUGGUGGAGCAUGUGGUUUAAUUCGAAGAUACGCGAAGAACCUUACCUAGCCUUGACAUAUAUUAGAACUCCGCAGAGAUGCAGAGGUGCCUUCGGGAGCUUUUAUACAGGUGCUGCACGGCUGUCGUCAGCUCGUGUCGUGAGAUGUUGGGUUAAGUCCCGCAACGAGCGCAACCCUCGUCACUAGUUACUAACGGUUCGGCCGAGGACUCUAGUGAGACUGCCUUCGUAAGGAGGAGGAAGGUGAGGACGACGUCAAGUCAUCAUGGCCCUUACGGCUAGGGCAACACACGUGCUACAAUGGCCAGGGACAGUGAGACGCAAUACCGCGAGGUGGAGCAAAUCUAUAAACCUGGUCUCAGUUCGGAUUGUAGUCUGCAACUCGACUACAUGAAGCUGGAAUCACUAGUAAUCGUAGAUCAGCUAUGCUACGGUGAAUACGUUCCCGGGUC
rnacentral:rRNA from 1 species